ensembl:lncRNA
GUUACACACAGGGCCUCGUUCAUGGUGACUUUACAAUAUGUGUCUGAGGAGAAACACUGUUCAUAACUUAGCUCCUGGUCCAGGAACUAGAGCUUGGUGACCGACUCACAGCAGCAGCUCAGGACUGCAGGACACAGAUAAGGGUGAAGCAGCUGUUGUGAACUGAGCACCCCAGCACCACAGGAUGUCCAAUCAACCUGCUCCGUGAAA